rnacentral:rRNA from 1 species
GGUUGUCGUGAUGGGCGUAUGGUGGAUGCCUUGGCAGACAGUACCGAUGAAGGACGUGUGGGGCCGCGAUAGUCCUGGGGGAGCCGCCGACAUGGCUUUGAUCCCAGGGUGUCCGAAUGGGGCAACCCGCCAGCCGUCAUGGGCUGGCACCGCACUUGUGCGGGGGGUACGCAGGGAAGUGAAACAUCUCAGUACCUGCAGGAGAGGAUACUCCGUGAGUAGUGGCGAGCGAAAGCGGAUGAUGGCUAAACCGUGCGCGUGUGAUACCCGUCGGGGGUUGCGCGCAUGGUGUCGUGGGAACGCCUGUCCAACGGCCGACGCCGUUGGCUGUGGUGAUAAAUGCAUGCGUGAGGCGAACCGGGUUGGAUACCGGGCCGUAGAGGGUGAUGGCCCCGUAGCCGUAUGCGCGUGCACCAUGGAUGGUGUCUCCCGAGUAGCGCGGGACUCGUGGAAUCCCGUGUGAAUCCGCCCGGACCGUCGGGUAAGCCUGAGUAUACCUGUCUGACCGAUAGCGUACGAGUACCGUGAGGGAAAGGUGAAAAGCACCCCGGGAGGGGAGUGAAAGAGUUCCUGAAACCGUGCGCCCGCGAACCGUCGGAGCCCCCUUGGUGGGGUGACGGCGUGCCUAUCGAAAAAUGAGUCUGCGAGUCAGUGGCAUGUGGCGAGCAUAAGCCGUGUGGUGUAUGCGUAGCGAAAGCGAGUCUUAAAAGGCGUCUUUUCAGUCGCGUGUCCUGGACCCGAAGCGGGAUGAUCUAGCCCUGGUCAGGUUGAAGCGCGGGUAAGACCGCGUGGAGGACCGCACCCACUUAGGUUGAAAACUGAGGGGAUGAACUGGGGUUAGGGGUGAAAGGCCAAUCAAAUUCCGUGAUAGCUGGUUCUCUUCGAAAUGCAUUUAGGUGCAGCGUCGGUUGAUUGCGUGUGGGGGGUAGAGCUACUGGAUGCUUGCGGGCCCGUGCCGGGUACCAACAGCAACCAAACUCCGAAUACCCAUCGCGUCUAUUCCGGCAGUGAGUCGGCGGGGGAUAAGCUCCGUCGUCGAGGGGGAGACAGCCCUGACCGUCGUCUAAGGUCCCCAAGCGCGUGCUAAGUGGGAAAGGAUGUGGAGUCGCAUAGACAGCCAGGAGGUUGGCUCAGAAGCAGCCAUCCUUGAAAGAGUGCGUAACAGCUCACUGGUCUAGUGGUUCCGCGCCGACAAUGUAGCGGGGCUCAAGCACGCCACCGAAGACGCGGAUGCGGCCGUAUGGCCGUGUGGUAGGAGAGCGUCCCACACCGGGGCGAAGCGGCGGGGGAACCCGGCCGUGGACUGUGUGGGAGUGAGAAUGCAGACAUGAGUAGCGAGAGCAGGGUGAGGAUCCCUGCCGCUGGAAGACCAAGGGUUCCAGGGCCACGUUCGUCGUCCCUGGGUGAGUCGGGUCCUAAGGCGAGGCCGACAGGCGUAGUCGAAUGGAUGAACGGGUCGAUAUUCCCGUACCGGCUUUCGGACCGACCAACAGCCCGUGUGAACAAGGGCCAUCCGAUACGGUUGAUGGGGGCUUCGGCCUCCUGAUUCCGUUGCUGUUUGGCCUGGACGCGCAUGGGUUGAGCGUUUCAGGAGUGACGCGGACGGGUAGCCGGCCGGGGAGGUGGUUUUCCCUGGUCAAGCGUGUGGCCCCGCCCCCAGGCAAAUCCGGGGGCUUCAUGGGGUGAGGCGUGAUGAUGGGCGCUUUCAUGGCGUGAUAUCCGGUGAUCCCGUCGGCCGAGAAAAGCUUCGGCGCGAGGUCCGUUGCCGCCCGUACCCCAAACCGACACAGGUGGUCUGGUAGAGUAUACCGAAGCGAUCGAGCGAAUCCUGGUCAAGGAACUCGGCAAAUUGCUCCCGUGCCUUCGGCAUAAGGGAGACCCCCGGCCGUGCCGGCCCCUUGCGGGUCGUGGGCGGCUGGGGGUGGCACAGGCCAGGGGGUAGCGACUGUUUACCAAAAACACAGGUGCAUGCCAAGACGCAAGUCGCCGUAUAUGCACUGACGCCUGCCCGGUGCCGGAAGGUUAAGAGGAUCCAUCAGCGUCCCCUCGCGGGAUGCGAAGUGGUGAAUUCAAGCCCCGGUAAACGGCGGUGGUAACUAUAACCAUCCUAAGGUAGCGAAAUUCCUUGUCGGGUAAGUUCCGACCUGCACGAAUGGCGUAA